rnacentral:rRNA from 1 species
UACGUAGGGACCGAGCGUUGUCCGGAAUCAUUGGGCGUAAAGAGCGUGUAGGCGGCCAACUAAGUCCUGCGUGAAAUCUCGGGGCUCAACCCCGAGCGGUCGUGGGAAACUGGUUGGCUAGAGUGCGGGAGAGGAGAGUGGAAUUCCUGGUGUAGCGGUGAAAUGCGCAGAUAUCAGGAAGAACACCCGUGGCGAAGGCGGCUCUCUGGAACGCAACUGACGCUGAGGCGCGAAAGCGUGGGGAGCAAACAGG